GGAGAGUGUAGUGUGCCUGGUGGUCGCCGCGGUUUUCAAAACCGUUGACGGGUUGUUAUGAUCUGUGGUUGGUUCGAUUCCUUCCCUCUCCGCCA
rnacentral:tRNA from 1 species